GACGAACGCUGGCGGCGUGCCUAAUACACGCAAGUCGAACGAGAGCGACCGGUGCUUGCACUGGUCAAUCUAGUGGCGAACGGGUGAGUAGCACGUGGGUAACCUGCCCAUCAGAGGGGGAUAACAUUCGGAAACGGAUGCUAAAACCGCAUAGGUCUUCGAACCGCAUGGUUUGAAGAGGAAAAGAGGCGCAAGCUUCUGCUGAUGGAUGGACCCGCGGUGCAUUAGCUAGUUGGUGAGGUAACGGCUCACCAAGGCCGUGAUGCAUAGCCGACCUGAGAGGGUGAUCGGCCACAUUGGGACUGAGACACGGCCCAAACUCCUACGGGAGGCAGCAGUAGGGAAUCUUCCGCAAUGGACGCAAGUCUGACGGAGCAACGCCGCGUGAGUGAAGAAGGUUUUCGGAUCGUAAAACUCUGUUGUUAGAGAAGAACAAGUGCUAGAGUAACUGUUAGCGCCUUGACGGUAUCUAACCAGAAA
rnacentral:rRNA from 1 species